CCAAAAAAAAAAAAAAAUGCGUAUGUUUUUAACUUAUGUAUUUAGAAGUCUUGAGAUGGAAGCUUUGGGCACCAGUGAAUCUAAAACAGAGUUAUCCAUCAGAAAUAAGAAACCCACUUGGGUAAUUUUACAUUUUUUGGUGGUCAUGUUAAAAAAAAAAAGGAAAUGAAAUUAAUUUUAACAAUACAUUUUAUUCACCUCAAGCUAUCUAAAAUCGUAUCAUCUUGACACACUGAAACCAUAAUCGAUUAACAAAUGAUUGAGAGAUUUUACGGUUUUUUUCUUUACUAAGUCUUCGAAACAUAGAAGACAAUGUUUUUUACGCUGUCACAGUGCAGUUAACUUGAACAGCACAGACCUGGAGCCUUAAAUAGCCUUGUCAGAGCUCAGCCUCUCUGCAGUGUACUAAGCACUCAAAAAAUAAGUCUUGCGUUGGCCAUUUGUGCUUCUAACCAUUAGGCACUCAAUGCAUGCACCUUCCCUGCAGACCUCCCUGUGAUCCUAGCACCCACAGCCAACUCUUGUAUCUUUCCCCAGGGGCAGGGCUGCCUGGGUCCAAACCCGACGUGAUCUCCCGUCUGGAGCGAGGGGAAGAGCCGAGGCCGGAGGAGAGAGAGGCCUGGCGAGUUACCUGUCCAGACUUGGAGACGAACUCUGUGACUAUUCUAGAGACACCUCGAAAAAAGAGCAUUUCUGAAGAUUCGGCUUCCCCAGUAGAGGGACUUUCAAGGGCUGUGCUUGCAGAUGCCCAGGCGGGGAAACCCUUGGCAUGUCACUAUCCACUGGAGGACCCAAGAAAGCAGGAGAGGCAUCUGACGUGUUUAUUUGCUACUUCCAAGGGAGACACCUUGGGGGAGAAAGGCCUUGGAUGUAACGAGCUUGAGAGAAGCCUCUGGCAGGCCUCCGCCCUCAUGAGGAAGCAACGAGUGCCCCGUGGAGACAGGCCCCGGAAGUGGGGCAGACCCUGGAAGAGCUUGAAAAGCCAAAGGACCUUCGUGGAGAAGAAACCAUUGAACUGCAUGGAAUGCGGGAAAGCCUUCAUUUACCAUUCGGACUAUAUUCUCCAUCAGCGAAUUCACACCGGGGAGAAGCCCUACAAGUGCCAUGACUGCGGGAAGGCGUUCAGCAACAGCUCGUAUUUCAUUCAGCACCACAUCAUCCACACAGGCGAGAAGCCCUACGCCUGCCACGCAUGUGGCAAGACCUUCACUCAGAGCUCUUCGCUCACCGAGCAUCAGAGGAUUCACACCGGAGAGAAGCCCUACAAAUGCAGGGACUGCGGGAAGGCCUUCACACAGAGCUCAUCCCUCAUCAAACACCAGCGGUGCCACACCGGGGAGAAGCCCUACAAAUGCAGGGACUGCGGGAAGGCCUUCACACAGAGCUCAUCCCUCAUCAAACACCAGCGGUGCCACACCGGGGAGAAGCCCUACAAAUGCAGCCAGUGUGGGAAGUUCUACUCGCAGGUCUCCCAUCUCACCCGCCACCAGAAAAUCCACACGGGGGAGAAGCCCUACGAAUGCAGAGAGUGCGGCAAGGCCUUCUGUCACACCUCCUCCCUCACCCAACACCAGACCAUCCACACCGGGGAGAAACCCUACAAAUGUAACGAGUGUGGGAAAACGUUCAGCCACAGCUCGUCCCUGACUCAGCACCAGCGAGUCCACACUGGAGAAAAACCCUAUGAGUGCACUGAGUGUGGCAAAGCCUUCAGCCACAGCUCGUCCCUGGCUCAGCACCAGCGAAUUCACACCGGCGAGAAGCCCUACGCGUGUCACGAGUGCGGGAAGGCUUACACGCAGAUUUCCCACCUCAUGAGGCACCAGAGCACUCACGUGGGGGAAAAGCCCUACGUAUGCAAUGAAUGUGGGAAGGCUUUCAGCCACACCUCAUCCUUCACUCAGCAUCAGACCAUCCACACCGGCGAGAAGCCCUACAAAUGUACCGAGUGUGGGAAAACCUUCAGCCAGAACUCCUCCCUCACACGCCACCAGAGGAUUCACACGGGGGAGAAACCCUACGAAUGUAAAGUGUGUGGGAAAGCCUAUACCCAGAUCUCCCACCUCAUUCAACACCAGAGGAUUCACACCGGAGAGAGGCCCUACGAGUGCAGCGAAUGUGGGAAAGCCUUCAGCCGGAGCACGCACCUCAUUGAGCACCAGAAGAUCCACACUGGUGAGAAGCCCUAUAAGUGUAAGGAGUGUGGGAAAACCUUCAGUCACAACUCCUCCCUCACUCAACAUCAGAGGAUUCACACCGGCGAGAAGCCCUACGCCUGCAAGGAAUGCGGGAAGGCCUUCAACCAGAGCAUCCACUUAAUCCAACACCAAAGGAUUCACACUGGAGAGAAGCCUUACAAGUGUAGCGACUGUGGGAGAACCUACACCCAGAUCUCACACCUUCUCCAACAUCAGAAGGUCCACAAUGGCAGCAAACGCUACGCAUGUGAGGAGUGUGGAGAGGGUUUCAGCUGGAGUUCACACCUGACUGAACACCGGAGGCUUCACACUGGCCAGGAUGCCUACCUCUGUGAUGAUUUUGAGAAAGCCUUUGCUUGGGGCACACAGCUUGCCGAUCAUCAGAGAACUCAUGCUGACAAGACAACCUGAGUGUGUAAUGAGCCGGCUGUCCUGCUGUUGGGUUCCAUCCCACUUUCAUCAACACUAGGAACCUUAAGAAAAAUGUUGCCUUCAGGAACAGAUGGAUCCAGGUGCAUAAACGGCCUUUUGGCAAUCUGCUCUUCAUCAACACUAGGAACUCCCCAGAGAAGGAUGCUGGCGCCAUAUGUUGAGAUGGCAACCUCCUGCUCAUCCCUCAAAGCCUUAUUCAAAGGUCGCCUCCUGGGCCAAGAGUGGUGGCUCACACCUGUAAUCCCAGCACUUAAGGAGGCCGAGGCGGGUGGAUCACCUCAGGUCAGGAGUUGGCGACCAGCCUGGGCAACAUGGUGGAAACCCGUCUCUGCUGUUGGGAAUGAAGCUUUUGGUGUCGCAAAACAAAAAAAGAAAGAAAGAAAGAAUGCGGGAACAAAUAAUGUCUCAGCAAGGCAAGCUUUACUUUUUGCAGAAAGGGUGCUACUCAAUAGCUGUCCAGCCAUGAGACCCCACCGAAGAAACGAGACAGAGUUACUUAUAACCUGAGGCAUCCACCCUACUGUUGUGUCCAGUUUCCAUUAGCUGGAAUGGGACCUCACAUUUUACACUUUACCCGUUUGGCUAUUAGUUUAAAACUUUUUUAAUUGGGUAAGGGGAACAGAACAAAGAAAGAAAAGGAAGUUACCCAGGGAUAGUUAAGGAUGUUUCCUUGACUAUGCACUAUGGGCUGGGGCUUGUCUAGUUCUGUCCAGGCAUGCCAAAGCAAGCUAGGACAGCUGAUUUGGAAUAUAUAAUAGUGGAUAGCAAUCUUAUAGUAAGAAAUUGUGACUUUUUAUAAUCUUUGAAGAAGAACUUUCCCAUUUCUCAUACUACUAAAAAUACAAAAGAUUAGCCAGGCGUGGUGGCGGGCGCCUGUAAUCCCAGCCACUCGGGAGG